GGACAACAGAGGAUGAGAUGGUUGGAUGGCAUCACCAACUCAAUGGACAUGAGUGAAAGUGUACAUAUUCUGCGGGGCCACUGUGAGUCAGAUUGGAGUUGAGAGUCACCGUCUGGGUUACCAACAACAAGCUUCAAGAAUGAAGCCAGGUGACUCGUCAGGAAGAAGUCACACUAUGGCAGAAAAAUGACGCCCGUUAGCAAAUGAGAGAGUAGAAGCCUGAGCAGAACCUCUUCUUUCCUCAUGUGCACAAGCACGUGCAAGCUGCUUCUCCUCCUCUUCAGCCUGGCAGCCUGCAAAUAUUUAUUGAAUCAGCCUCUCUGUUGUGUGCUGGGGAUACAUUCCAGCCAUCCGUUCAGCCAUACAUUCAGCCACGGAGACAGAACAUCCAUGAAGGAGCCCAGGAUUCCCGUUUCUCCUUCU